ACAGAAUAGGUCAAAAGGGGUGCCCGAGCGUAAGCGAGGGCCCAACUGGAUAGCAAGUCGGUGGAAGUCCGACGCGGCCGCGCCGCUGUAUUUGAUUCUUCUGCGGAAGAAUCAUAAGCCAGAACGCCAGCCCUUGGAAUCGCCUACAU
rnacentral:ncRNA from 2 species